rnacentral:rRNA from 1 species
GAUCCUGGCUCAGAUUGAACGCUGGCGGCAGGCUUAACACAUGCAAGUCGAGCGGAUGAAAGUAGCUUGCUACUGGAUUCAGCGGCGGACGGGUGAGUAAUGCUUAGGAAUCUGCCUAUUAGUGGGGGACAACGUUCCGAAAGGAGCGCUAAUACCGCAUACGUCCUACGGGAGAAAGCAGGGGACCUUUGGGCCUUGCGCUAAUAGAUGAGCCUAAGUCGGAUUAGCUAGUUGGUAGGGUAAAGGCCUACCAAGGCGACGAUCUGUAGCGGGUCUGAGAGGAUGAUCCGCCACACUGGGACUGAGACACGGCCCAGACUCCUACGGGAGGCAGCAGUGGGGAAUAUUGGACAAUGGGGGGAACCCUGAUCCAGCCAUGCCGCGUGUGUGAAGAAGGCCUUUUGGUUGUAAAGCACUUUAAGCGAGGAGGAGGCUACCUAGAUUAAUACUUUAGGAUAGUGGACGUUACUCGCAGAAUAAGCACCGGCUAACUCUGUGCCAGCCGCGGC